rnacentral:rRNA from 1 species
AUUGAACGCUGGCGGAAUGCUUUACACAUGCAAGUCGAACGGCAGCACGGGAGCUUGCUCCUGGUGGCGAGUGGCGAACGGGUGAGUAAUACCUAGGAACAUGUCCAGUAAUGGGGGAUAACGCAGCGAAAGCUGUGCUAAUACCGCAUACGCCCUACGGGGGAAAGCGGGGGAUUCGCAAGGACCUCGCGUUAUUGGAGUGGCCUAGGCCUGAUUAGCUAGUUGGUGAGGUAAAGGCUCACCAAGGCGACGAUCAGUAGCUGGUCUGAGAGGAUGAUCAGCCACACUGGAACUGAGACACGGUCCAGACUCCUACGGGAGGCAGCAGUGGGGAAUUUUGGACAAUGGGGGAAACCCUGAUCCAGCCAUUCCGCGUGAGUGAAGAAGGCCUUCGGGUUGUAAAGCUCUUUCAGGAGGGAAGAAACGGUUACGGAUAAUACCUGUGACUAAUGACGGUACCUUCAGAAGAAGCACCGGCUAACUACGUGCCAGCAGCCGCGGUAAUACGUAGGGUGCGAGCGUUAAUCGGAAUUACUGGGCGUAAAGCGUGCGCA